rnacentral:rRNA from 1 species
UACGUAGGGGGCAAGCGUUGUCCGGAAUUAUUGGGCGUAAAGAGCGCGUAGGCGGUCCGAUAAGUCGGCUGUGAAAGUCAGGGCUCAACCCCUUGAAAGCCGGCCGAUACUGUCGGACUAGAGUCCGGAAGAGGCAAGUGGAAUUCCCGGUGUAGCGGUGAAAUGCGCAGAUAUCGGGAGGAACACCAAUGGCGAAGGCGGCAGUCCUGGACCGGUAUUGACGCUGACGGCGCGAAAGCCAGGGAGCAAACGGG